rnacentral:misc_RNA from 1 species
AAAUGCGAUAAGUAAUGUGAAUUGCAGAAUUCAGUGAAUCAUCGAAUCUUUGAACGCACCUUGCGCUCCUUGGUAUUCCUUGGAGCAUGCCUGUUUGAGUAUCAUGAAAUCUUCAAAGUAAAUCUUUUGUUAACUCAAUUGGUUUCUACUUUGGUAUUGGAGGUCUUUGCAGCUUCACACCUGCUCCUCUUUGUUCAUUAGCUGGAUCUCAGUGUUAUGCUUGGUUCCACUCGGCGUGAUAAGUUAUCUAUCGCUGAGGACACUGCAAAAGGUGGCCAAGGUAAAUGCAGAUGAACCGCUUCUAAUAGUCCAUUGACUUGGACAAUACUUUUAUGAUCUGAUCUCAAAUCAGGUAGGACUACCCGCUGAACUUAAGC